rnacentral:rRNA from 1 species
GRGUAGAUGAWAGUGCUUAACUGCAUUUUUUUACACAUGUGUUUUUCUUUUUUUGAAAACUUUGCUUUGGUGGGCCCACGGCCUGCCAGAGAUUAAACUCAACCAAAUUUUAUUUAAAGUCAACUGAUUAACUAAUAGUCAAAACUUUCAACAACGGAUCUCUUGGUUCUCGCAUCGAUGAAGAACGCAGCGAAAUGCGAUAAGUAAUAUGAAUUGCAGAUAUUCGUGAAUCAUCGAAUCUUUGAACGCACAUUGCGCCCUUUGGUAUUCCAAAGGGCAUGCCUGUUUGAGCGUCAUUUCUCCCUCAAACCUUCGGGUUUGGUGUUGAGCGAUACGCUGGGUUUGCUUGAAAGAAAGGCGGAGUAUAAACUAAUGGAUAGGUUUUUUUCCACUCAUUGGUACAAACUUCCAAAAUUCUUCCAAAUUCGACCUCAAAUCAGGUAGGACCYAC